UACGUAGGGGCCUAGCGUUGUCCGGAUUUAUUGGGCGUAAAGAGCUCGUAGGCGGCUUGGUAAGUCAGGUGUGAAAUCUCCACGCUCAACGUGGAGGGGCCACCCGAAACUGCCAUGGCUUGAGUCCGGUAGGGGAGUGUGGAAUUCCUGGUGUAGCGGUGAAAUGCGCAGAUAUUCGCAAGAACACCAGUGGCGAAGGCGGCUCACUGGCCCGGUACUGACGCUGAGGUGCGAAAGCGUGGGGAGCAAACAGG
rnacentral:rRNA from 1 species